CCGCGCUCAGCCGCCGCUUCUUCGCCCCGCGCCCUCCGCCACCAUACAUCUCCUCUUCCGGGCUCUCAUCCUCCUCGAGCCCGUCCAUGAACGACGUGAACGUGGUCCUCUCUUCUCCUUCGCACAAUCAACUCCAGGACAUUGAUUGAAGACGGUUAGCUCGAUCUCCACAUAAGGCAGGUAGCAGUAGAUAAUUCAUGGAUGCCUGGAGAGAUGUCAGCUGCCAGUCCUAGGUCCUGCGUUAUAUCGGUUUUAUUUCUGCUUUACUUGUAUUUUUAGCAUACAACGAUUUUUAAUAUUGUAUGGAUUGGUCUGUGUUUGGAGUUGAUUCAUGGUGUUUUAUUUUUCGUGAUCUUGUGGUAGUGUAAGCCUAAUUGGCUAGUAACCUUUAGUUGUGGAUUGUGGGUUUUCUCUUCGGUUUUUCGCUAUGUUUACUUUCAGCCGUGUGGAUUGUUAUUAUACUGUGUGGCUGUGUGUUUUUGAUAUAGUCGUGUGGGCUAAAU